GAUUGAACGCUGGCGGCGUGCUUAACACAUGCAAGUCGUGCGGUAACAGGCGUAGCAAUACGUGCUGACGAGCGGCGAACGGGUGCGUAAUACAUGGGAAUCUGCCUUUUAGUGGGGAAUAACCCGGCGAAAGCCGGGCUAAUGCCGCAUAAGAUCUUCGGAUGAAAGCGGGGGAUCGUAAGACCUCGCGCUGAUAGAUGAGCCCAUGCCGGAUUAGCUAGUUGGUGAGGUAACGGCUCACCAAGGCGACGAUCCGUAGCUGGUC
rnacentral:rRNA from 1 species